UACGUAGGGCGCAAGCGUUUGUCCGGAAUUAUUGGGCGUAAAGAGCUCGUAGGCGGCUUGUCACGUCGGGUGUGAAAGCCCGGGGCUUAACCCCGGGUCUGCAUUCGAUACGGGCUAGCUAGAGUGUGGUAGGGGAGAUCGAAUUCCUGGUGUAGCGGUGAAAUGCGCAGAUAUCAGGAGGAACACCGGUGGCGAAGGCGGAUCUCUGGGCCAUUACUGACGCUGAGGAGCGAAAGCGUGGGGAGCGAACAGG
rnacentral:rRNA from 1 species